UAAACCUUAAUCGUAUGGUGGGGGUUAGUCCACAUUUCACAGCUCACCUAACCUUAAUUUGAAAGAGUCUACAAAUUUUGAUUAUCGGAGUUGACUUGAAAUAUAGACCCAUUACCAUCUAUAAAUACAAUAUGCAUUUCAAUAUUUCCCCCUAACUCCGAGCCCUCCUUUUGAUACAGGAACCAACCAGAAGCCGACCGACGCUGAUCUAAUCGAAGAUGGGGAAAGUAAAUGAAUGGGGCAUUUUGGACUUCCUCGUGUUCCUCAUGUUGCUGGUUAUUAUUUUCACCGUCCUGGCCAUCGUCUUAACAAACACGAAGCGGCCACCACCACCGCAGCGACCUGCGGGCGUGGAGCGGCCACCACCACGGCAGCGAGCUGCACGCGCGGCGCAGUGAGCUGGCUGAGAAGUAAUCAAGGUAACUCGCAGUCUUGAUCUGGUCAGAAUGGCGGGAGCUCAAUCAACUCGCUUUAUCACCCUUUAUUAUUAUUAUCAGUAAUUAUAGCAUUCUCUAGUAAUAUGACUUUAAGGUUAUUGGGCUAUUGGCUAACCUUUACAGCCAUUAUAAUUUGUCGAAUGGUUUCUUUGAUUGUGUUAUAAAAAUGGGUUUCUCUAGUAAUGUCAAUAUAACUCUUCGGACUUGGUCUGAAUGUUCAGGUUGAGUUUGGGGUGUUACAAAGCUUAUACUGUCAUUCAAGAAUAUUUAUAACAAAUAAAAAGUAGGGUAAACUACUUAGUUGAUCACCAA